AAAUUGAAGAGUUUGAUCAUGGCUCAGAUUGAACGCUGGCGGCAGGCCUAACACAUGCAAGUCGAACGGUAGCACAGAGAGCUUGCUCUCGGGUGACGAGUGGCGGACGGGUGAGUAAUGUCUGGGAAACUGCCUGAUGGAGGGGGAUAACUACUGGAAACGGUGGCUAAUACCGCAUAACGUCGCAAGACCAAAGAGGGGGACCUUCGGGCCUCUUGCCAUCAGAUGUGCCCAGAUGGGAUUAGCUUGUUGGUGAGGUAACGGCUCACCAAGGCGACGAUCCCUAGCUGGUCUGAGAGGAUGACCAGCCACACUGGAACUGAGACACGGUCCAGACUCCUACGGGAGGCAGCAGUGGGGAAUAAUGCACAAUGGGCGCAAGCCUGAUGCAGCCAUGCCGCGUGUAUGAAGAAGGCCUUCGGGUUGUAAAGUACUUUCAGCGGGGAGGAAGGUGUUGUGGUUAAUAACCGCAGCAAUUGACGUUACCCGCAGAAGAAGCACCGGCUAACUCCGUGCCAGCAGCCGCGGUAAUACGGAGGGUGCAAGCGUUAAUCGGAAUUACUGGGCGUAAAGCGCACGCAGGCGGUCUGUCAAGUCGGAUGUGAAAUCCCCGGGCUCAACCUGGGAACUGCAUUCGAAACUGGCAGGCUUGAGUCUUGUAGAGGGGGGUAGAAUUCCAGGUGUAGCGGUGAAAUGCGUAGAGAUCUGGAGGAAUACCGGUGGCGAAGGCGGCCCCCUGGACAAAGACUGACGCUCAGGUGCGAAAGCGUGGGGAGCAAACAGGAUUAGAUACCCUGGUAGUCCACGCCGUAAACGAUGUCUACUUGGAGGUUGUGCCCUUGAGGCGUGGCUUCCGGAGCUAACGCGUUAAGUAGACCGCCUGGGGAGUACGGCCGCAAGGUUAAAACUCAAAUGAAUUGACGGGGGCCCGCACAAGCGGUGGAGCAUGUGGUUUAAUUCGAUGCAACGCGAAGAACCUUACCUGGUCUUGACAUCCACAGAAGAAUCCAGAGAUGGAUUUGUGCCUUCGGGAACUGUGAGACAGGUGCUGCAUGGCUGUCGUCAGCUCGUGUUGUGAAAUGUUGGGUUAAGUCCCGCAACGAGCGCAACCCUUAUCCUUUGUUGCCAGCGGUCCGGCCGGGAACUCAAAGGAGACUGCCAGUGAUAAACUGGAGGAAGGUGGGGAUGACGUCAAGUCAUCAUGGCCCUUACGACCAGGGCUACACACGUGCUACAAUGGCGCAUACAAAGAGAAGCGACCUCGCGAGAGCAAGCGGACCUCAUAAAGUGCGUCGUAGUCCGGAUUGGAGUCUGCAACUCGACUCCAUGAAGUCGGAAUCGCUAGUAAUCGUGGAUCAGAAUGCCACGGUGAAUACGUUCCCGGGCCUUGUACACACCGCCCGUCACACCAUGGGAGUGGGUUGCAAAAGAAGUAGGUAGCUUAACCUUCGGGAGGGCGCUUACCACUUUGUGAUUCAUGACUGGGGUGAAGUCGUAACAAGGUAACCGUAGGGGAACCUGC
rnacentral:rRNA from 1 species